AGAGCCCUGAUGCCUAUAACACGAGUGUACAACUUAUUUUAGGCAUCAGUGGUUUAACCUAAUUCUUGGUUGUAAUUUUAUGGUGAAACAAUAAAAGAUUUAUUAUUUUUAUUUAUUAUUAUAUAAGUAUUAUUAUGA